rnacentral:rRNA from 1 species
GACGGAGGAUGCAAGCGUUAUCCGGAAUGAUUGGGCGUAAAGCGUCUGCAGGUGGCAGUUCAAGUCUGCUGUCAAAGACCGGGGCGUAACUUCGGAAAGGCAGUGGAAACUGAACAGCUAGAGUAUGGUAGGGGCAGAGGGAAUUCCUGGUGUAGCGGUGAAAUGCGUAGAGAUCAGGAAGAACAUCGGUGGCGAAGGCGCUCUGCUGGACCAUAACUGACACUCAGGGACGAAAGCUAGGGGAGCGAAUGGG